rnacentral:rRNA from 1 species
GACAGAGGAUGCAAGCGUUAUCCGGAAUGAUUGGGCGUAAAGCGUCUGUAGGUGGCUUUUUAAGUCCGCCGUCAAAUCCCAGGGCUCAACCCUGGACAGGCGGUGGAAACUACCAAGCUGGAGUACGGUAGGGGCAGGAGGGAAUUCCCGGGUGUAGCGGUGAAAUGCGCAGAUAUCGGGAGGAACACCGGUGGCGAAGGCGGUUCUCUGGGCCUUACCUGACGCUGAGGA